rnacentral:lncRNA from 1 species
AAUUUGGUCUGUUUCGAGGGCGGCGUGCGUGAUGCCGAACGGACAGAAUUUCUCCUGUCCACCCAAGACUAAGCAACAGAUUGUGUACAACAAGUCCCUAGGAAUACAACUUGAUUUCAUACACAAUCAAACAACAAUAAUCGAGAGCACAAACAGUGCUAUAAACAACAAGAGCAAGCGAUACAAGUAAGCAUUAUACCAGUAUUCAAAAGAGAGAAACUUAACUAUUUGAGACAUCAUUAAAACGUUUAACCUCUUUCGAUAUCAUUUAAACUUUAAUCAUUUUAAUACAACUUGCAUUCUUUCCAAAAUGAAAAUACAUCAUAUACUCUCCAAAACCUCACCCUAUACAACAUCUACUCUCAAAAGUAUAAACAAAAGUACAGGGUGGCGCUAAUG